rnacentral:lncRNA from 10 species
CAUCUAUCUGGAUUUGAAGCAAUCUGGACCUCUUCCAACAUUCUCUUGGCUCUGUGGCCCAUUUAUCCUGAGCUGUGUUAAUGAACAAGAUGUGCUGAUUUACACAGGAGACUCACUUCUUCACUGAGGAGGUUCUUACGGCUGACUUGCUAUACUUGACCGUGAAGAUGAUGCUCUCUACCGAAUUACAUCGGCACAAGGAAUUUACAGAAACUGGAUGUGGCUGUGAUAAAAAACAGAGCAGAGCACAGUUUUGCUGGGACAACAGUGGCCAUCAGUUACUCUGUCGUGUGGUCCAAGCUGGUUCCCCCAACUCCUUAGAGGAACCUAAAGAGGAGCAACAGCAGAGCCAAGGACAAUCAGUACCCUAGAAGACUAGAAAAGAACUAAACUAAACUAACAGAACUAAACAUCCCAUAAGGAAAGAAGAAAAAAAAAAAAG